rnacentral:rRNA from 1 species
UGGGGAAUAUUGGACAAUGGGCGAAAGCCUGAUCCAGCCAUGCCGCGUGAGUGAUGAAGGCCUUAGGGUUGUAAAACUCUUUCGCCGGGGAAGAUAAUGACGGUACCCGGAGAAGAAGCUCCGGCUAACUUCGUGCCAGCAGCCGCGGUAAUACGAAGGGAGCUAGCGUUGUUCGGAAUUACUGGGCGUAAAGCGCACGUAGGCGGGCUAUUAAGUCAGGGGUGAAAUCCCGAGGCUCAACCUCGGAACUGCCUUUGAUACUGAUAGUCUUGAGAUCGGGAGAGGUGAGUGGAAUUCCUAGUGUAGAGGUGAAAUUCGUAGAUAUUAGGAAGAACACCAGUGGCGAAGGCGACCACCUGGACUGAUACUGACACUGAGGUGCGAAAGCGUGGGAGCAAACAGGAUUAGAUACCCACGUAGUCCCUGAGCGGGCUGGCAAGGCGCAU